CAACAAAUGCCCUGCUUCCAGGAAAAGCCUCUAAGCAUCAGGUAACAUCAAAUCGUACCCCAAACCGACACAGGUGGUCAGGUAGAGAAUACCAAGGCGCUUGAGAGAACUCGGGUGAAGGAACUAGGCAAAAUGGUGCCGUAACUUCGGGAGAAGGCACGCUGAUAUGUAGGUGAAGUCCCUCGCGGAUGGAGCUGAAAUCAGUCGAAGAUACCAGCUGGCUGCAACUGUUUAUUAAAAACACAGCACUGUGCAAACACGAAAGUGGACGUAUACGGUGUGACGCCUGCCCGGUGCCGGAAGGUUAAUUGAUGGGGUCAGCGCAAGCGAAGCUCUUGAUCGAAGCCCCGGUAAACGGCGGCCGUAACUAUAACGGUCCUAAGGUAGCGAAAUUCCUUGUCGGGUAAGUUCCGACCUGCACGAAUGGCGUAAUGAUGGCCAGGCUGUCUCCACCCGAGACUCAGUGAAAUUGAACUCGCUGUGAAGAUGCAGUGUACCCGCGGCAAGACGGAAAGACCCCGUGAACCUUUACUAUAGCUUGACACUGAACAUUGAGCCUUGAUGUGUAGGAUAGGUGGGAGGCUUUGAAGUGUGGACGCCAGUCUGCAUGGAGCCGACCUUGAAAUACCACCCUUUAAUGUUUGAUGUUCUAACGUGGACCCGUGAUCCGGGUUGCGGACAGUGUCUGGUGGGUAGUUUGACUGGGGCGGUCUCCUCCUAAAGAGUAACGGAGGAGCACGAAGGUUGGCUAAUCCUGGUCGGACAUCAGGAGGUUAGUGCAAUGGCAUAAGCCAGCUUGACUGCGAGCGUGACGGCGCGAGCAGGUGCGAAAGCAGGUCAUAGUGAUCCGGUGGUUCUGAAUGGAAGGGCCAUCGCUCAACGGAUAAAAGGUACUCCGGGGAUAACAGGCUGAUACCGCCCAAGAGUUCAUAUCGACGGCGGUGUUUGGCACCUCGAUGUCGGCUCAUCACAUCCUGGGGCUGAAGUAGGUCCCAAGGGUAUGGCUGUUCGCCAUUUAAAGUGGUACGCGAGCUGGGUUUAGAACGUCGUGAGACAGUUCGGUCCCUAUCUGCCGUGGGCGCUGGAGAACUGAGGGGGGCUGCUCCUAGUACGAGAGGACCGGAGUGGACGCAUCACUGGUGUUCGGGUUGUCAUGCCAAUGGCACUGCCCGGUAGCUAAAUGCGGAAGAGAUAAGUGCUGAAAGCAUCUAAGCACGAAACUUGCCCCGAGAUGAGUUCUCCCUGACCCUUUAAGGGUCCUGAAGGAACGUUGAAGACGACGACGUUGAUAGGCCGGGUGUGUAAGCGCAGCGAUGCGUUGAGCUAACCGGUACUAAUGAACCGUGAGGCUUAACCUUACAACGCCGAAGGUGUUU
rnacentral:rRNA from 1 species